GAUGAAGAACGUAGCGAAAUGCGAUAAGUAAUGUGAAUUGCAGAAUUCAGUGAAUCAUCGAAUCUUUGAACGCACAUUGCGCCCGCCAGCACUCUGGCGGGCAUGCCUGUUCGAGCGUCAUUUCAACCAUCAAGCCCCCAGGGGCUUGUGCUGGGGCCCUGCGGCUGCCCGCAGGCCCUGAAAACCAGUGGCGGGCUCGCUAGUCACACCGAGCGCAGUAGCACAUCUCGCUCAGGGCGUGCGGCGGGCUCCUGCCGUGAAACCCCCCACUGUAACCCCAAAGGUUGACCUCGGAUCAGGUAGGAAUACCCGCUGAACUUAAGCAUAUCAAGAAGCGGAGGA
rnacentral:misc_RNA from 1 species